AUCCUACGGGAGGCAGCAGUGAGGAAUAUUGGUCAAUGGGCGGGAGCCUGAACCAGCCAAGACGCGUGAGGGAAGACGGUCCUGUGUAUUGUAAACCUCUUUUGUCGGGGAGCAAAGAGAUCACGUGUGGUCAAGAGCGAGGGGACCCGAAGAAAAAGCAUCGGCUAACCCCGUGCCAGCAGCCGCGGGAAUACGGAGGAUGCGAGCGUUAUCCGGAUUUUUUGGGUUUAAAGGG
rnacentral:rRNA from 1 species